rnacentral:rRNA from 1 species
UACGUAGGGGGUUAGCGUUGUCCGGAUUUAUUGGGCGUAAAGAGCGUGUAGGCGGCCAGGUAGGUCUGCUGUGAAAACUCGAGGCUCAACCUCGAGACGUCGGUUGAAACCGUAUGGCUAGAGUCCGGAAGAGGAGAGUGGAAUUCCCGGUGUAGCGGUGAAAUGCGCAGAUAUCGGGAAGAACACCCGUGGCGAAGGCGGCUCUCUGGGACGGUACUGACGCUGAGACGCGAAAGCGUGGGGAGCGAACAGG